rnacentral:rRNA from 1 species
GAUGAACGCUGGCGGCGUGCUUAACACAUGCAAGUCGAACGGUGAAGCCCAGCUUGCUGGGUGGAUCAGUGGCGAACGGGUGAGUAACACGUGAGCAAUCUGCCCUUGACUCUGGGAUAAGCGCUGGAAACGGCGUCUAAUACUGGAUAUGAGCUGCGGCCGCAUGGUCGGCAGUUGGAAAGAAUUUCGGUCAAGGAUGAGCUCGCGGCCUAUCAGCUUGUUGGUGAGGUAAUGGCUCACCAAGGCGUCGACGGGUAGCCGGCCUGAGAGGGUGACCGGCCACACUGGGACUGAGACACGGCCCAGACUCCUACGGGAGGCUG